UGUUCCAUGGACACUGUGACAGUGAGACUGGGGAGCAUCCUCUGUGCUCACUGCCCGCGCUGCUGCUGCUGCUACUACUACCACUACCAGCUCUUGCUUUUGCGCUGUCUCUGCCUUGAACGUCUUUCUUCGGGGACUUUCAAAUUUACUCAGUAGUUUGUUUAAAGAAUCUUCUUGCACGCCAUGGCUUAGGUGGAAGCCAUGGGUACCCGAACAGAGAAAAGCAUCAGCCUGUGUCAGAAGGCUCUGCAGAUCGUGUCGGACCUUUGCCUAGGAGGGCAAGUGGAGUGGGAAAAAUGUUCAAGUAUCCUCCUAGAAAGAACCAGUCCAGGUAAAGACAGCACAGACAUCUCAGUCAGUCUUCUUGCUGUAGUUGUCAGUUUCUGUGGCCUUGCUCUGUUGGUAGUCUCUCUCUUUGUCUUUUGGAAGCUGUGUUGGCCAUGCUGGAGGAGCAAGGCUCUUACAUCUCAUGCCAAUAACAUCCCUCAGAAUACUCCUACUGCCCCUCCAGAGGUGGUGGAAAAAGAUGAAAAAAAGGAAAUACUUGAAAAUGGUAAAAGCUCAGUGAAGCUUCGGGAGGCUGCCAUGAAGAUUAGUCAGACAUCCCCAGACAUCCCUGCAGAGGUUCAGACUGCUCUCAAGGAACACCUUCUGAAGCAUUCCAAAAUACAGAGGCAGAUUACAGAACCUACUUCAUCAUCCAGACACAAUUCAUUUAGAAGACAUUUGCCACGGCAGAUGCAUGUGUCUAGCGUAGACUUAAACAUUGAGGGCUUGCAGAGGAGAGAGACAACUACCAGCAUUGGACGCAUUAAGCCAGAACUUUACAAACAAAAGUCCAUUGAUUCUGAUGACAGCAAGAAAGAAGACGUCCAGACCUGUGGGAAGCUAAAUUUUACCCUUCAAUAUGACUAUGAAAAUGAAAUGCUGGUUGUAAGAAUUGUCAAAGCAUUGGAGUUACCUGCUAAGGACAUUACAGGCACAUCUGAUCCUUAUGUUAAAAUUUAUCUGCUUCCAGAUAGAAAAAAGAAAUUUCAAACUCGAGUGCACCGGAAGACUCUUGAUCCUAUUUUCGAUGAAACUUUUCAGUUUCCUGUAGCAUAUGAUCAACUGACAAGCAGAAAACUGCACUUCAGUGUCUAUGACUUUGACAGGUUCACCAGUCAUGAUAUGAUUGGAGAAGUUAUUGUGGACAAUUUGUUUGAAAUUUCUGAUCUUUCCAGGGAGACAACAGUUUGGAAGGACAUUCAUUGUGCCACUACAGAAAGUGUUGAUUUGGGAGAAAUCAUGUAUUCUUUGUGUUACCUACCAACUGCUGGUAGAAUGACAUUGACUAUGAUUAAAUGCAGAAAUCUUAAGGCAAUGGAUAUCACUGGCUCUUCAGAUCCUUAUGUUAAAGUGUCCCUUAUGUGUGAUGGCAGAAGAUUAAAAAAGCGUAAAACAACAACCAAGAAAAAUACACUAAAUCCAGUUUACAAUGAGGCAAUCAUCUUUGAUAUUCCUCCAGAAAAUGUGGAACAGGUUAGCUUAUCCAUCAUGGUAAUGGACUAUGACCGUGUUGGUCAUAAUGAAGUAAUUGGAGUCUGUAGGACAGGGCCAGAAGCAGAAGGCCUUGGUAGAGAUCACUGGAAUGAAAUGCUUGCAUAUCCACGCAAACCAAUUACUCACUGGCAUCCACUGGUAGAGAGUUUGACUUGAGAAAAUUUUUGAUGAGAACUUGCCGUUCAGCCCAACAUAGCUCCUCAAUCUAUAUUCACCUAACUUUUGCAAAAUAUUGUCAAGUCGAGAUUUGAUGGUCCCCAAAGUACUACUAUCUGCAGUACUACACUACUUGUGGCCAGGCCGAGCGACAAGUUUUGAUAGUCAAGGAUCCUGUCCAUCACCAAAACCACCAAUGACACCAUAGCAAGAAAUUGUAUAUGUUAAAUAAUUAUUUAUUAUUCCUAAGUAAUAUGAAAGUCAAAGUAUAGUAGUUAUCUGGUUUUAAAUCCUUUACACACAAAUUCACGAAAAUGGUAGGAUUCAGUUAUUACAUUUUCUGUUUUGAGGAUCGGAAAAAAUCAUCUUACAUAUCUGGCGUAAUAUAGUAAUAUUUUUUCUGUUUCAUUUGUUUUAAUUUUGUUUCAAAAAUGUUGUGUUUAUUUUAUUUAAAAGGCUGUAUACCCUUUUUCAUUAUCUGUGCCCUGAUUUAGUGAUUUAGUGAAACAUUUGAAACCUUAAAAUCACUUUACUGUGGUUUAGUAUUGCAAUUUUAACUGUGAAUGAAGUUAAUUUUAUUGCUAUAAUACAAGAAUAACCUUUUAUGAUUUCCUAAAAUAAUUGUUUACAGAAUACCUCUUUCUGCAGAAAAAAGUGCAUUUACUGACAUUUUAUUAUAGUGGUGGAGCAUUACAGUGUACUAACAGUCAUACGUGUUAAAAUUGAAACAUUUUCAAAAUAUUCAUUAAUACUGUCUAGAAUUUGAAAUGAUAGGGUUACUAUUUUUCUGGCAUGUGUAAUUGUUUUAUUUGGCAAAUUUGUAAGAAAGAUUCACAAUUUAUAAUUAAGUAAAUCAACUGCUGCCAUUCCAGAUCCUACAAAAUUUUAUUAUCUGUGGGAACAGCUGCAAAAUUAACAUUAUUACAUGUUUUGAGAUGCCAAUGUGGAGCAAAAGUAUGUGUGCAAUAAAAUGCAAGUACACAACAUACUAAAUGUUUUUAUUUUUUGUAUAACUGUAGAAAAACUUUUUUGUCUUUAAUUUAUUUUUCAUUAAAUUCUCUCCAAAACUUAAAGUAUAAAAGUAAAAAAAAAUAUUAUAUAUAAGUAUUAUAUAUAUAAAGUAAUCAAAUUAUUUGUUUUUUAAGUUUUUCCCUAUUCUUAGACAAAAUAAAUAUAACAUUUUGCUUUUCUGAAGUAAUUAUACCAUAAUAAAUGUAGAAUGCUAUGACAAGCUUAUCCAAAGACAGAGGUGCUUUAAUGUUUAUGGAGACAAAGAAGCCUUUGCUAACUUUACUAAAAGACAACAAAUAUUUAUGUCAUAAUAUCAUGUAGUACAUAAUAAUGAAUAUCUGCUAAAUUCUAAAUAUUGCUCAUUGUUUUAUCACAUACUUUAUCUCUGUGGUUAAAGCUUUUCUCCUUAAAGAAAAUUAAAAGAUUUCUUUUUUUUCCUGAUAACCUCUACAGCAGGGUCAAACAUGGACAUUUAUUUAGUAAAUGUCCAAAAGGGCUUCAAUACGUGACCUAAACCUGGGUCCAUAUGCAUAUCCAGAAAUGUUCUGCAUAUUCAAAAAAUAAAUAACAAUUUAUUAUUUCAGAAUGUGUUUCAUAGCUUUGAUUUUUUUUCAUUAAGAUGGAUUGUUGCAAAUCUAGAUCAAUAACGUUAUAUUAAUAUCAGAAUUAUUAUUCUUUUUCAAGAGUUAACAUUAUGUAAGUGAAGGAGAAAAAACAUUUCCAACUAACAAAACUUAACCUUUCAUGUAACUUAAACUCUAGACAUGAGAAAGUGCCCCACUCAGUCAAAAGUUGAAGGAGCAGCUGCAGGAGGAUUGAUUCAGAUCCAGUUUCUUAUUAACUUAGUGUUUUUGAAGUUUUGUUUUUUUAUUUCAAUUAACAAUAUCAUUUAAUUAAAAGAUGUAUACAUGAAUGUUAUUUAAAUGUAAAUAAUGUGUGUGGGUGUAACAACUAUAAAACAUGACUUCUAUGUAAUGUGUAGACUGUGUACAAUUUAUUUCCAUUACAUUAUUUUUGUGUUAAAAGAAACCAUAAUGAGAAUUUCAAAAUUGUGUAGCAUAUCUUUUUAUUUAUUUGUAUUUUUGUACAAAAUAUGCAGCCUUUGUGAGAUAUACAGAUCAAUAAUUAUAUACUGUAUAUAUAUUUGUGUGUGUGCCAUAGUUUUCAUAAGACACAUUCCAUUUCAUAGCAUUUUUAAGAGUUUCUUUCUGUAAAUUGUAAACUUUUGUUACAUCUGAUAUAUUCUGUAAUGAUGAAAAAUGCUUAAAAUGUUAUUAAGUGUACAGUUUGUGAUAACUUUUGUAAUAAUUCAUAGGUAACAUUUGAAUUAUUUUACUGUACCCGUUUCUUAUGUAUUUUGAUGAAAACUAAUUAAAG